CAACGACCUAUCCUUCUAACACAAGGUGUGCAAAAGAGGAUAGACAAUAAUCACAUCAGAGUCUGAAACAAAAUAAAAGCAAUAGUCGGUCCCCAAACUUAAAAAUGGGUUAUGGCACCAACCAUGGAACUUAUAAUGAUAAACAGUAAAAUGUGCUUUAAACUACCAAAAGGAAAGAAGCUUGAUAUUUCCCAAGAGAUGAUAAGGUGUGCUCUCUUUUGGAAAGAAAAUUCUAGCAUUCCUUUCCUUCCAAAUUAACCAAGUGCUUCCGAACCAGAUUAACUGCAUAAAAGAACG
rnacentral:lncRNA from 1 species